rnacentral:rRNA from 1 species
UACGAAGGGUGCAAGCGUUAAUCGGAAUUACUGGGCGUAAAGCGCGCGUAGGUGGUUCAGCAAGUUGGAUGUGAAAUGCGGGGGCUCAACCUUCGAACGGCCGUUGAUACUGGGCGCCUUGGAUUCGGUCGAGGCGGGCGGAAUGCGACAUGUAGCGGUGAAAUGCUUAGAUAUGUCGCAGAACGCCGAUUGCGAAGGCAGCUCGCCGGGCCGAUAUUGACGCUGAGGCACGAAAGCGUGGGGAUCGAACAGGAUUAGAUACCCCUGUAGU